UUUUUGAGGUGGCUUUGGCAGUUACAGAUUUUCCCGCCUUUUUGUUGUUCAAGUGGCAACAGUGGCAACACACAUUCUUUAUUUUUAACCAUAUCAAAAGAUGAGAGAUAUAUUGAGAAAACCACAUUUUAUUUUGAAUGUUUCCUGAUGCUGAUGUUUGAUGACAUUGUUCAGUUUUUUUGCUAUAAGUCAGAAAUGACAAGGAGGAAGCCUCCCACAAUAGAAAGUCAAUGGAGAGGGUUAGAUUGUUCAUGUGUGGGCGUGCACUAAAUGCGCUCUGUCUCUAUGCCAAAGCCACCUCAUUACUGGAAGUUACAGAUUUGAAAAACAAUAAGGGUGGGGAAAAUUUUGAUUAAAGAAGCCUAAACUCUGAAGCUGAACGAUCCAGCAGACUAUCAGCAAACUCUCAACAGUGCCUGGACGUCUUCAGCCUCCAGUCGCAGGACCGUCUUUGAGACCUGAGAUGUCAUCGUGCUUCAGAUCUAGAGACAAGUGACUCCACAGUUCACCUUCAGCACGGAAUGGAACAAGGACAAUUUCGGGGGGUCUUCACGCUACUGUCCUACCCCUCAUACCAAGCUCAGGGACAUGCUGCUUUUUCAAGAAUUCAAAGAAAGAGUUCCCUUUCUAAGGGAAACUGGAGUUUGCUUUUCAUGCUUGUGUACUGAGCACAAGAGCAAAGAUUGUAAAGGGUGCCUGAAAUGCAAACUUUGUCAUCGAGCUCAACCUACAGUGUUUCGCAUCAAAAGGCAAUCAGCAGCAGUGAACCAGUCGUAAUCUUAUAACAAGUUAGGGUUUUCCAAAACAUGUGGGCAUACAGGGGUUGGUAAGGACUGAUGGGCAUUGUUCAUUCUCCCAGUACAAGUUAAAUCCAUCAAAGGAAACAAAAAGUCAUAAAAACAUUAGCUUUUUUGGAUCUGGGUAGUUCAGCUACAUUCUGCACAGAACAGAUUAGGCAGAAGCUGAAUAUUUCAAGUAAACAGGUCACAUUCUGGCUUAGUACAAUGGGACAUCAGGCCAUGGUUCCAGCUUACUCCUUGACUGGCUUGUAAGUAUUUAGUCUGAAUGGCAAUAACUUCUGUUAGCUUCCUGAGGAACUCACACAGCAGAAAAUGCCAGUUAGUACUGACAACUUGAUAACAUUUUGAUAAGGUUUGGCUAAGUUUCCAUACCUAUCAAAAGUAUGGAGUACCAAAUAUAAAAGCAAAUGUUGACUUGCUGAUUGGUAGCAAUGCUUCAAGGAUAGUGGAACAUUUGGAGAUAGUCAACAGCUGUGGGACUGGCCCAUAUGCUGUUAGGACAGUGUUGGGAUGUGUUGUUAAUGGUCCAUUGAAUGGAAACAGGGGUGCAUUAGGAAUGGAGAUGCAGAUUGUAGGAAAUGUUAAUCAAUCAGUACAAUCAUGAAUUCAAUGAGAACAUAGUAAAGAAAGAAAUGUUGAGGGAGCACAUCAGCUUAAUGGAAAUCGUGGAGCAGUCAGUGGUCCUAGAAGAUAGGAACUAUAGUUUUAGGUUUCCCUAUAAGACCAAAUAAGUCCAUCUACCUAACAACUUUGCUGUGGUAAAGCAAUGGGUCCCUGGAUUGAAGAAAAAGUUCCUAAACAACCAUGAUUUUCAUAAUAAAAAAUGGGAUACAUGAAUGAUGUCAUCAGCAAGGGCUAUGCAGAACAAGCAUCUCAAGAACAGCUGCACUGUGAAAUUGGGACAGUAUGGUACUUCCAUCAUCACGGUGUCAACCAUCCAAGAAAGGGAUCUAUUUACGUGGAGUUGAACUGUAGAGCUACAUUUCAAGGAACAUCUUUAAACAACAAACUUCUGCAGGGCUCUAACCUUACCAGCUCUUUGCUUGGAGUUCUCACUCGCUUCAGAAAGGCACCCAUCACUUUUAAGGGUGACAUUCGGGCUAUGUUCCAUCAAGUUAAGGUGGCUGAAGAAGACAUAACAUUUCUUUGCUUUCUUUGGUGGCCAGAUGGAAACAUCUCUGAGAAACCUGUGGAAUAUAAAAUGACUGUACAUUCAGUGUGAGUGGAGUCAUUCAGAUUCCUGGACACCACUAUCUCUCAGGACCUGAAAUGGGACAUUCACAUUGACUCAAUUGUUAAAAAGGCCCAGUAGAGGUUGUACUUCAUGAUAAAAUUCAAGGAGUGUUGUCACAAGAUGGAAUUCAUUGGAGCUUUAAUCCACCAUUGGGUUCACAUGGUGGUGUAUGGGAAAGAAUGAUACGCUCUGUAAAAAAGGUUGUCAGCUCUGUUCUACAUCAACAAAAUUUAUAUGAUGAUGGACUUUACACAGUUUUCUAUAAAGUAGAAUCUGUUUUGAAUGACAGGCUAGUUACCAAGCUAUCGACAAUCCUAAUGACCUGGAGCCUCUUUUGCUUAAUCAUCAUUAUCUUUUGAAAGGGAAACCAGCUUUACCACCUGGUGUGUUUGAACCUCAUGACCUGUUUGCAAGAAGACGAUGGAGACAGGUGCAAUAUCUUUCAGAUCUGUUCUGGAAAAGAUGAGGCAAAUGCGGAAUCAGAAGAAAACAAGUUUGCUUUCUGGAGACAUUGUAGUAAUUAUGGACUCGUCGGUUCCUUGUGGUUCCUGGGCUCUUGGCAUGGUCAUAGAGGUUUUUCCCAGAUAAGCAUGGUUUGGUUCGUUCUGGGAAGUUGCAGGCCAAAACCAGCAUCAUUGAAAGACCAAUAAAAAACUUUCUCUUUUGUCAGAUGCCCUUCUUCUCAUAGGUGGAUCUCUCCACUCUAUGUUUCAUAGAACCGAGGUUAUGAACAGUAACCUAUUAUUUUCAAACUAAUCCUGCAAGCACCACUAGCACCUCAUUUACACUUCAUCUGCUAAUGAGUUAGUGAGAGUCGAAUCAAUUGUGCAGUGCUGGGGUGUUUGCUGAACCAGUUCGAAAAACUUUGUUUGCCUAUAAUUUGCCUGCUUUGUCUAUAUGUAGAACCGGCCCUAGGCAUAAAGGUGGACAGGGAAAUUACUAGAAGAAUGACAAGUAUAUACACUGUAAAAAUGUGGCUUAACGACCCAGAAAGCUGAAACUGAAGAAAACACAUGCAAAUCACAUCUUCAUCAGUUUGCCAACAUGUGACUGUCAUUCUCGAUGACGUUAUGAUGUAAAGUCGUAAAGUAUAUCAUGCCCCCUUAGAGGUAGAGUUCUUCUGUCAAAAGCAGAAGGAUUUUGUAGACUAGCCAAUAUUGCUUCGACCGUAUAUUUAGACAAUAAAACUGUUAAGUCUAUUGAUCAGAUUUUAUUAAUUUUUUAAUGGAAGAAUCGUGUGCACUGCAUUCGUAAAUCUGUUGUCAUGAAUUAUUUUAAAAACGGUGGACUUCACUUUCUGGAUACUUCUACUUUUUUACAGAUAUCUUUACGAUCCAUCUAUGCGUGAUCAUAGGAACUUCAAGAAGGCAACUAACUCUUGGCAAGGAAUUGCAACC